rnacentral:rRNA from 1 species
UACGAAGGGGGCUAGCGUUGCUCGGAAUCACUGGGCGUAAAGGGUGCGUAGGCGGGUUUUUAAGUCAGAGGUGAAAUCCUGGAGCUCAACUCCAGAACUGCCUUUGAUACUGAAAGUCUUGAGUAUGGGAGAGGUGAGUGGAACUGCGAGUGUAGAGGUGAAAUUCGUAGAUAUUCGCAAGAACACCAGUGGCGAAGGCGGCUCACUGGCCCAUAACUGACGCUGAGGCGCGAAAGCUAGGGGAGCAAACAGG